CUCGUAGGUGGUUUGUCGCGUUGUCCGUGAAAUUCCCUGGCUUAACUGGGGGCGUGCGGGCGAUACGGGCAGACUAGAGUACUGCAGGGGAGACUGGAAUUCCUGGUGUAGCGGUGGAAUGCGCAGAUAUCAGGAGGAACACCGGUGGCGAAGGCGGGUCUCUGGGCAGUAACUGACGCUGAGGAGCGAAAGCGUGGGGAGCGAACA
rnacentral:rRNA from 1 species